UAAUACGUAGGUAACCUGCCCAUGUGUCCGGGAUAACUGCUGGAAACGGUAGCUAAAACCGGAUAGGUAUACAGAGCGCAUGCUCAGUAUAUUAAAGCGCCCUUCAAGGCGUGAACAUGGAUGGACCUGCGGCGCAUUAGCUAGUUGGUGAGGUAACGGCCCACCAAGGCGAUGAUGCGUAGCCGGCCUGAGAGGGUAAACGGCCACAUUGGGACUGAGACACGGCCCAA
rnacentral:rRNA from 1 species